GGGUCGUCGGGGCGGCGGCUGAAACACACCAGAGGUCAAAGGUCUGCGGGGCGGCGGCCCAAACGCACCAGAGCCGACCGGCGUGACGCAGCGCACGCGUUCCUGCACGUUGACGCACUGCCUUACGGAUAGAUAGUGGAGACAGCCGGGAAGAAGUCCCACCAAGCCCCCACGCGCAAUGUCGCGAUGGACACGCAAAACGCGACAAGGUCGCGCGUUCCUUACGCUGUCGAGCCGCGAGCGAGGUCCAAAGGCAAGUUGAGUCUUCCAAGGGAGAAUUUCUCGGCGUUCCUUUUCAACGCAUCAGCAGCAAACACGCCCAGAACCGCGGCAAGGUGCGGCCGCUCCGUCUCCGGGUCCUAACGCGCGCCCGAGCGUCUUCCUCGGAGAAGUUGAGGCUCCGCCCCCAAUAAUAAAAAACCCCUUCAAGCGGUCACGUCGCGGACCCCCUCCUCGCACGCCCACGGCGCCGCUCAUCUGCAAAAACGGGACCGCUCGCGUCCUCUGCGGGCCGCCGCGGGCAACUGCAACAACGCUGAACGCUUGCGGGAAACCGCGACUUGAAGUAAUGGAACGGCGGCAGCAAGACAUUAAAACUGUCAGAACAACAUGUGUGGAACAAUGCCAAGAAAUUCGAAUUCACCUCCGGAUGCAGCGCCGACUGCCGGAGAAAAAUUCCUCGUGUGUUUUUACACACGUGGCCAAUAAAGCUUAUUCUGAUUCUGA